GACGAACGCUGGCGGCGUGUCUAAUACAUGCAAGUCGAACGCGGGGGGGACGGGUGAGUAACACGUGGGUAACCUGCCCAUCAGUGGGGAUAACACUUGUAAUCAGGCGCUAAACCGAUAUUGAUGGCUUGUACCUGGGUGCAUUAGCUAGUUGGUGAGGUAACGGCUCACCAAGGCCACGAUGCAUAGCCGACCUGAGAGGGUGAGCGGCCACACUGGGACUGAGACACGGCCCAGACUCCUACGGGAGGCAGCAGUAGGGAAUCGUCGGCAAUGGACGAAAGUCUGACCGAGCAACGCCGCGUGAGUGAAGAAGGUUUUCGGAUCGUAAAGCUCUUUUGUUAGAGAAGCGGUACCUAACGAGAAAGCCACGGCUAACUACGUGCCAGCAGCCGCGGUAAUAC
rnacentral:rRNA from 1 species